GGGAGGGGGUGACUAGUGACAGAGUGAGAGAGGGAAGGGGUGACUAGUGACAGAGUGAGGGAGGAGGUGAUUAGUGACAGAGGGAGGGAUGGGGUGACUAGUGACAGUCACCACCUCCUUCACUCUGUCACUGUGUCACCCCCAUCCUCACUCUGUCACUGUGUCACCCCCUUCCUCACUCUGUCACUAGUCACCCACUCCCUCCCUCCCUCUGUCACUAGUCACCCCCUCUCUCACUCUGUCACUAGUCACCCCCUCUCUC